CGUGAACAGCAUUUGGACGUGGGUGAGUCGGUCCUAAGGGAUGGGCGAGAGCCUGUGAGUUAAGCGCGCAUUCGUGGUGUGGGCCUGCGUGUGCUCGCGGCUGUGCGUGCUUGCCGCUUCACGGUGGCGAGUGUGUGCGGCUGUGGGUGCGCGUAGGCUCGCCUGCGGCUUGAAAGAGUUGCGCGGUCUCCCGAAAGGGAAUCGGGUUAAUAUUCCCGAACCGGACACYUGGAUGCUGCUGGCGUUGCCGGUUGGGCUUCGGUUUGGCUGUGCAGCAAAGGCAGGCAACGGCAACGUAUACGACCUCGGAGACGCCUGCGAUAGACCUGGGAAGAGUUCUCUUUUCUUCUUGACCGUACCUACCGUGUGCUUGGCCCUGGAAGCAGUUUACCUUGAGAUAGGGCUGGAGGUCGGGCAAAGCGCCGCACUUGUUGCGGCGUCCGGUGCUCUGUCGUUGGUCCUUGAAAAUCUGAGGAAGCGUUUCGAUCUCGUGYUCGGCCGUACCCAUCACCGCAUCAAGUCUCC
rnacentral:rRNA from 1 species